rnacentral:rRNA from 1 species
AGUGAACGCUGGCGGCAGGCCUAACACAUGCAAGUCGAACGGCAGCACAGAGGAGCUUGCUCCUUGGGUGGCGAGUGGCGGACGGGUGAGGAAUACAUGGGAAUCUGCCCAAUCGUGGGGGAUAACGUAGGGAAACUUACGCUAAUACCGCAUACGACCUACGGGUGAAAGCGGCGGACCGCAAGGCGUCGCGCGAUUGGAUGAGCCCAUGUCGGAUUAGCUAGUUGGCGGGGUAAAGGCCCACCAAGGCGACGAUCCGUAGCUGGUCUGAGAGGAUGAUCAGCCACACUGGAACUGGGACACGGUCCAGACUCCUACGGGAGUCAGCAGUGGGGAAUAUUGGACAAUGGGCGCAAGCCUGAUCCAGCCAUGCCGCGUGAGUGAAGAAGGCCCUCGAGUUGUAAAGCUCUUUUGUCCGGAAAGAAAAGCUUUCGGUUAAUACCCGGAAGUCCUGACGGUACCGGAAGAAUAAGCACCGGCUAACUUCGUGCCAGCCGCCGCAGUAACAC